GCGCGGCGGUAGCAACCCUUCUGGAAUCCUCCAACCACGUGGGGUAGGGGGCGGGGGUUGGUCACUGCGACCCGCAGGUCCGCUCUUCCGCUGAAGCGCCGCCUGCGCCGCCUGUCCAGAGACUAUGUAACCGCCACUCCCGGAUUUACGGAGUACUAACAAUGUUCUCCGCAACAUGAUGCCUGCAAAAAGUGUGACCGCUCGUUCCGUUCGCGGUGGGUCUAGGCUCAUUGAGAGACGACGGGACUAGAAGGCGUAUAAAGGCAGCACCUCGGACAGCCCCGGUCCUUCGUGGCAGGAAAGACUCAAGGUCACACGGGAUAAAUUGCGAAACGAUUACAGUUGUCUUGCGUCAGGUACGUGGGAGGCGGAGCCUGUUGCGCCUGCGCAUCUGGCUUCCGGAGUAUGGCCUGGAGCGCAUGUGCACAGAGAGUGUCGGAAAACGGGGGUGGAGACUAACUGCAGAGCUCGUUGGAUGCUCCUGCGUACGCCGGUUUGGCCUGAGCGUAGCCCGGGGCGAGCCUGGGCGCGUGCACACCCAGAGCGCGUGCAUCUUUUACCCCCGUUUCAGCUCCUUCCGGAGGACGCCAUUUUGUCCCAGGGCUUUGUUCAGUAUAAAUUUCAGGCGUAGAACGUUUGUUGCUUUCCCCCACCCUUUGUCGGUUUUUUGGCUGCCGGGUGCUAUUGCAGUAACUUGAGUACACCUGAAUGUUUUGUCCUUAGACAAAUUCGUGCUGUGUUCUACCACAAAGAUCUCGAGUUGCGAACUACUAAAGCAGCUUUUUGUUCGCACAGACCACUGGGUCGCGUUAAGCUAAUCAUCGUGCAAACCAUCAUGAAAAAAAAUAUCAGAGCUCGGGCUCUUCCCAGCUGGGUGUGCCGCAUCUAUCUGAGGUUCUUCUCGCCCUUCUCAAACCUUGGGUUGGUUGCUAGCAACAGAGGUUGUGGGUUCUCUAACAAGGAGUUGUCAGUGGCCACUCUGCGCGCUGUGACCAGUUUCAGACGUUUAAGAAAAGGAUAGAAUUCAACAAAUAUGCGCUGGAGUGCCUGCCAUGUGUUCUAGCGUGUGUGGAGAGACUUGCUGCAUUUCUAAAACAUCUUUGAAAAAAAGCUUCAUUUCUGAAUCCUACUCAGCACUUGCGUUUCUUCACUCGCUUUAGCAGGAGAGAACCAUAAAUUCUUAGACAUACCUGCCUUCUCAUCUGUCUUGGGAGUUAUAGACUGCACAAAGAAGAGAAUUCAUGUACUUCUGCAUAAUGAGGAGUCUGCAGCACAGGACCAUACACCAGGUGACAUGUGACAUGCGACUUCUUCCCUUUGGUGUACAUCAGAAGUCCUUUGGGGUCAGUAUAUGAAUGGCUACCCUUCCAGUGUUCAUCAUGUGGGUGGCCUACCCUUGGCUGAAGAUCGUAGGGGCCAAUUCCAGCCUCAUCGUUGGUGACUUAAAGAAAUUGUUUGGACACAGGAGUUAAUGGAAGUAGGGUGCUAGCGAGUGGCUGAGCUCAUCACUGUCUUCCUGCAUUCCAAGAGCAGAUCUAUCUUUCAAGUGCAAGGCCCUGGCUCUGCAAGCACAGUACGUGCAUGGUAUCAUUGAAUCCUGGGAAUGUAUCAUACUAUACCCAUUUCACAGCUAAGGAAACUGAGACUGAGAGAGAAGUGACUUGCCCAAGGUCACAUUUUUAGAAAAAUGACAACCAAGAGCCAAACGCGCUUCUGUCUGAUUCCAAAGCAGCCCAGAGGUCCGUCGUGGGGAGAGCCGGUGGCUAUGGAAGAGAGACCCACAGGCCGUUAGAAGCAGGUGGACUAGGCCAGGAGUUGGAGUCAGAGUCAAAGAGUCUGGAAUGCUGGGAAGUUGUGAAAGAGCCCUCCCGCUCCCCCAUCCACACUUGACAGUGAAGGAAGCUUUGAUCUCAUCUUCUCACCUACAUGGGACUGAGCUAUAUAAAGCAAACUCACAACGUGCAGUAAAACAGAUCCUGGAACAGAAUGAACAGAGAAGUGGGGGCAUUUGCUCUGGCCUGAGCCCCUGCCUCCCUGCUCAUCCUCAAAUGUUUAUCCCCACUCCUGCAGCCUUGUGGGGCUCCUGUCGGUAUCUGCUCUCUGUAUCAUCAUUGGGAGUCUUGUAGGUCUGUAGUUGCCUUGGUAACUUGAUGGGAAGGUCUUCAGUCUUCCUGGAAUCCGAGAGAGGAGCUAGGCUCUGUUGGGCUGCUGCUCAGAAAAGGGAAGAAGCCUUUCCAGUGCUCACUGCCCCUGCCAGCCAGACAGUCCUUCCUUGUGUCUCACCUCAGCUUCUGUUCCUUCUGUAGGAGCUUUAUAAGCUUGUGCAGCCCCUCGGGCUGGGCCUGAGGGAAGGGAGCUGUCAGGUACUGCUCUGUCCUUGGAUUUGGCUCCCACUGUUACAGGGUUACCAGAGCUGCCUGGACUCCUGCUUGCUCCCCUGCCUUGGCCCUUCAGUCUUAAUUGGUUUCAUGAAGUUCAGUGCCUGUUUUUUAUGAGACAGGUAAUUACGGUGAGGGAAGGUCAGGCCCUCCUCUGUUGGACGUGGCGGGGCCUCCAGAAUUGCUGACUCCCCAGUCGGCACCAGGCAGACUGAUGGGAUCAGGGUGGGCAGGGGCAGCUGGACCCUGGGAACACUCACUGUGGGAAGAGGGCCUGGGCCUCCAGCCUUUUAGUCCCUUCCAUGGGAUCAUGGAGUAUGUGCACCUCCAGCCUCUCGGAGGAGCCCACACACCUGAGGAGGGUACCUGCAGAUGCAGUCCUUCCAAUGGGGUAAGGGAGGAGAGAAAGCCAGGGUGUAAGGUGGGGUGCUCCUUCUAGGGGCUUGUGGAGGUUCCCUCAGGCCUUCUGGGGGGGAUUCCUACAUGGGGUGCCCCUGGCCGUGCCAAGAGAUUUGUGGGGCUGUUUCUUCCACCCUUCCUCCUCCGUCUUCUUCCUUUCCUUUCUUUGACAGUUUCAGUCCAAAAUAUGGCCUAUUUCCUCUCUAGGUCACUCUCUAUAACCUGUCUCUGUGUUUCUCUCUCGGUCCUUCUCCCUUUCAGCCUUAGUCUUGGAUGGAUCUCUCUCUCAACUCUCUCUCUCUUACAUUCCGCCUCCUCCCUCCUUUCCCUUCUUCCCAGAUGGAAAUUGACUUGCUGUCUGAUGGAGGAUAGUUCCACUCACUGCUGGCAUAGGCAGGGUCUGAGUACGGUGGGGAGUAGAUGGGAAUGGGGAAAUGACUUGGGAUCUCAUCACAGGAAGAACAUGGGUGGAGUGGGGAGGGCGGAGAGUAGAGGUUUAGGCGCUUCUCUCCAGGCUGGGAGCUGCUUUCUAGGAUUGACUCUCAGAUGGGCUGAGAGGUUGGCCCUGGUCCCUAGAUCAGGCCAAAUUGCUGUGUGCAGCUACCCUGCUCCCCUAGCCAUCUUGGAAGGAGAUUUGACAACUUGCCCAAGCUCUGUUUACUGUUUGUCCUCAUCUCCUCCUAAACCAAAAACAAACCCAUUGCCAUCAAGUUGAUUCUGACUCAUAGCAACCCUAUAGGACAGAGUAGAACCACCUCAUAGAGUUUCCAAGGAGCGCCUGGUAGAUUCGAACUGCCGACCUUUUGGUUAGCACCCAUAGCUCUUAACCACUACGUAACCGGGGUUUCCAAACAUCUGUCCCUGGGUGGGCUCGAACCACCAACCUUUCGAUUAACAGCUGAAUGGAGGGAGAAAAAAAAAAACGUUGCCUUCGAGUAGAUUGCAACUUAUCCUGACCCUAUAGGACAGAGUAGAACUGCCCCAUAGGGUUUCCAAGGAGCGUCUGAUGGAUUCAAACUGCUCAUCUUUUGGCUAGCAGCUGUAGCUCUUAACCACUGCUCCACCAGGGCUCCAAAGGGGGAGAAGUACUGGCUUAUAUGGUGGCUGGCUCAUUCAUGACAGACACUUGGUGGCAUUUUCAGACUGGGCCAGUUGCUGGGUAUGGCUGGCUGUGGGACAGAAUGACCUCAGGAAAAUUCCCCACCUACUCAACAUAGUGUAGGAUUCCCUCCUCCCCUUGCUUUCUGACUCAAUGGCCAACUCCCCAGGUGCUGGCCUCUCUAGAGUAAGCCCAACUAUGUGGGGACAGAAGGGAGGAAUGAGAUACAAGCUGCCCAGAUCAGCAGGGCCUGGAGUCCCUCAUCUGCGGAGGCAAGACCCUGCUCCUCCUCCGUUUAAUUAGCUAAUGUCUGUAAAGGGCUAGGUGAUGGAAAAGCCCUAUACAAAUGUUGAGCACAAUUUCAUUUCCAAGGCUCGCCAAGAGUGUAUUUGCAGACUUGAGCAAAAGGUCACUGGGCCUGUCUGGGACAGAGGGAGGACACCUUACAGGGCUCAAAGGGAGGAUGAAGCUGGAAAGUUGGGGCAGGGGGAGGCCACCAUGGGAGCCAGAGUCCCUCCAUCCUCAGUCCCCUAGCACCUUGGCACCAUGCCGGCUUUGCACCUCCCGCCCCAUGCUGGUGACUCCCAGGCUCCUAGAGGCUGAGCCCUCUCUCCAGGGACCACCCUUAGAACCUCAGAACCUUUCUACCAGGAGAUUAUGCUAAUAGUCACAAGAGCUAAUAUUUAUGGAGCACUUACUGUGCGCCAGGCUCUCUACGGGGCCCAGAAUUCUCUAGCUUAGGAAAGGUGGCUGCCUCUCAGUAGUGGGGUAGAGCAGGUUUUCCAGCAAGGUGAGCCCCCUGAGCGCUGCAGGCCCAGGCCUGCAUGAAGUCUCUCUGAAAUCUUUGGGGGGAUAUCACUUACCUUCUCUGACCAAUGUUCCUGUUUGUAAUCUUCCAGGUCCCUACAGUGUGUAUGCUCUGCAAGCUCCUAGACUCUCCUGCCCUUUCCCCACUGAUGCUCACCUGGCCCUAAAUCCAUUGUAAACAACAGUGAGGUCAAUUAGCCUUAGCAGGCUCCAUGCCCAAGGGGCAGCUUUCCAGUUUCCGGUGCUCCAAGGCCUGCUUGGACCACAUGUGUGUUCCUGGCUCUCUCAGAAUUCUUUUAUCUGAGACCUAGGAGUGACACCCCUUCUCCCUCUCUGACUAGGACCCAGCUUUGGGUUAGGGCCAAGAGGGAGGAGUUUGGACUAGCCAGCCUUACCCCUCAGGCCUCAGAGUCAAGGUGAGUGCUUCAGAGGGCAGGAGAGGGAGAGACGGCAAAGCAGCAAACAGAGGGUUCAGGAAGAGGCAGGCAGGCAGAGGAUAUCGAUCAUGUUUCCAGCAUCCCCUGGGCCUCCUUUGUGCCUACCUGCUUAGCCCUCUAAAAUCUAAACAGAGCUAGAAUGGGCCUUCUGAGAGACAUGGUCCUUGAUCCCCCAAGUCCCUCCAGCCUCUACUCUGUCCCCAGUUGCUCUUUCUCUGGCUUUUCUCCAGAGCCCAGGGGUUUCCAUGUGUCAUCAGUUCAUUAUCAUUCUGAUAAAAGUCAUUAGUUCUUGAAGAAGCAUGACUUCCCAGCUGAGGCCAGCCACCCCACAACCUGAGGAGGAGUAUAAAUGGAUGGAGCCAUGGCAUCGGGGGAUGGUACACACAUCUGCGCAGAACAGACAAAAACCAUGAUGCUUGUUCUUAGGGAUGUGGGUAACAUACAGACCUGCGGGCACACACAGCACACUCCUCUAUACACAGGUUCAGGGAUAUGUGUCCACCUCUGGUUCCACCUGGUCACUGGAGACCCGACAGAGCUGAUCACUGAAGCCACACUCAGUUGCUUAUAGUCCCAGGGAUGCACUCAAGCCAUGAUGCAGCAUCCACCAGCCUCAGCCUCUGGCAAACAGAGAGGCCAGGCUCCCCAGACUCAAGGGGGCGGGGGAUGGGGAGUGGAAUACGAAGACUGAGGUUAGAGAUCUCUGAAUUCCAUUAGCUGCAAGAAGCAUGUCCUGAAUGUAAAAACACAGGGACAAGGGCGCAGAGUUGGUUCCUGACAGCAAAUCCACGUUUCCACCCCUCCCCCACCAGGAAACUCCUCUAGGCCACUAAAGCUAUUCAGGGAUUAGAGCAGCUCGGUUAAUAAAAGCUGCUUAUUCAAAGGGUACUUUCAGUUAAUUUGCAUUUACUUCAUGCAUAUUAGGAUGCCUGUGAUGUGUGCCUAUAAGAGCUUCCUCAGCUCACCUUUGCUGUCCCUAACUUGAGUCCCUGGUCCACACACCCCCUCCUCCUUCUCUGCUCUUCUCUGCCCUCACCAGCAGGCACAGGUAUCAGUUUGGGCUGGCCCAAGCUUGGCUGGUAAUCUUAGCGAAGAACUUGAUGGGGAAGGGGAGGUGAAUACUGGUUACUGAUGGUCUGGUCCUGGAAUGGCAGCUCCAGAAGCAGCCAGCAGGAGCCUAUGGCCAAAGAAGUCUUCCCAAAGGAGAGCAAAGAGGGCUGAGGCCCUGGGCGAAACCUGAUCUCCUAGGGAAGGAUGAAUCUUACUGGCUGUUUGCAAAUUGAGGUAGGUAGAAUCAGCUUCAGCCUCUAAGACUUCAUAUUGGCAGUCACUCCCCUUGCCUUCAGUUUAUUCAAAAAAUAAUGGUACCUACUAUGUGCUGAGUCAGAGUCAAUGUGUUGGGUUUGGUUUUUGGUUACUAUGUGGCAGGCAUUAUGCUAAGUACCUAGAGAAUACAGUGAUGAAUAAGACAGCAUCGUCCCUGCCCUAGGGGAAGAUCCAAAAAAAAAGAAACAAGGAAACCAGACAAUAAAUAUAGAAUUAUGAAUUAUGGUAAGUAGUUCAAAGUGAACAAAUAAGAUGCUGAGAUAGAAAGUAACAGGUCAGGGCCAGGGGAACCUACUUCAAAUGGAGUAAUCAGGAGAAGGUGGUGACUUUUGAACAGACGUGGAAGAGUAGGAGCCAGGAGAAGAGCAUUCAAGGCUGUGAAACUGCCAGUGCAAAAGCCCUGUGGUGGGAGUGAUGGAGAAACAGAAAGCAGUGUGACUGGAGUGAGGUGAUGAGGGAAGGAGUGGCACUUGAUGAGGUUUGGGUGGUUAAGAUUGGGCAGGGUCAGGUCUUCUGAGCCAUGGCGAGGCAUCUGGUAUUAUCCUAAGAGAGGAGGGAAACUCAUGAAGAGGUUUAAUCAGGGGAGUGAGGCAUGAUCUGAUUUCCAUUCAGCAGAAGGAUGCAUUGGAGGGGUACUAGUGGAUGCAGGUAGACCAGCAAGGAGGCUAUUGGAGAUAUCCUAGCAAAGGGGGAGGGGGCAGGAAAGGGAGAAAAAAAGCAUCCAACUUUUUUCUAAAGGAAAAAUCGAAGUCCUCAAAGACCUACUAGGUACAAAUCAAGAAUUCUUCUCUUGCUUUGUCCUUUUAUUACCCCCAAGGGCACCAUGGCAUUUUCCAUCCCAGCUCAGGGCAAAGCCACAGCUGGUACCUACUCAUCCCCUGCGCAUCCUGUAGUAAGGGUACUGUCAUUCUAAGACUCUCCAGGGAAGGUGCCCACCUGCCUCCUGGCACAUCCUGGGCCAGUGAAGGGGCUGCAGGGCUGGGGAAAGGUUGCCAUUGUUGCGGGGGGGCGGUCAGUAUAAAUGUCUUCCCACCCAACUAACCUGGAAUGUGUCCACAGUGCUGCACCCUGGGCAGUGCCAACCUUGGGGCGGGCUAAGGUAGACACAGACCCAUCCACCCCUACUCCCUGAGCCAGAGCCCCAGAGACCCUAGAGCCAAUCCCAGCUCCCUCACUGCCCCUCCCACCAUCAAUCAGGGGAUAAGAACAAUGUCAGAAUCAGGACCAGGGGAAGGGGGGCCACUGAGCACCUGAAUCACCCCCCAGGGAUGCAGGAAUAUGAGGCAAGGAUCCUGAGCCUGAACAUUUACAGGUAGCACUCAGGAUUGAAAACUGAUUUAUAGUCUGAAGGCAGGCAGAGGGGAGCGGGAGGAAGGUGGGGAGCUCUGUGUACAGUGCAGCCUUGUUGGGCGGCAGUAAUUAUAUAUUACAUUGAACUGUCCUUGCAGCACAGUUAAGGGCAAUGGGAAUGAAGCUCUAAAUCACGCUCCCCUGAUGCUCCCCGUAGCGCUCCUCCCUGUGUGUGGCCCCAGAGCCCAGGGUUGACACUUCUCCCCAUCUCAAUCACACACACACACUUUCUUUCUCACACACACACACACUCACACAAAGAGCUUGGGGGCAACCAGCAUGAUUGGGGGCCCAGAGAACAGGAAGAUGGGAUGUUAUGAACUCUGGCAGCUUCCAGCGGCUGCUCAUCCUGAAGGCCUCAUUGUUUAUUGCCUGCCCCUUUCUUCCACUGGAGCCCGAAUAAAUAUGGGCUGUGUCAUUUGAAGAAGAAACCUCUCUCCACCCUUCGUUCAUUCGCUCCUGCAGCAUGCUUCCUCUCCACACCACAGCCUUGGUUCAUUAGGGGCCUCUUCACUUCCUAGCUGGAUUUUUGCAAUUGUCUCCCACCAGCUCACCUCCACCCCUAAUCCAUCAUUCUUUACUUUGUUGCCAUUGUGGUCUCCCUAAGCACCCCUCUGACCGUAAUCUUGAUUUCAUUCAUCAGAGAAUUCUGGGAGUGAGGAGAGAUGGUCCAAGACUUUGGUCCUUAAGGGCCCAGGAGGUAACUGAAGUUCCAGCUUCUUUAAGAAGCCUCCCCAGGCUCUUUGCUGGUUGACAAUUGCUCACUCUCCUCCCUUCUUGAGCUGUAAGCCCAGGGGAAACACUGGUGUUCAUCCUUCCUCAGUGGCCAUUUGUGUGGCUAGACCCUGGUCCUUAAGGCCAAUCACCUAGAUUACCCACCAUUCCCCUUGUCCCUCCUUCCAAGUCCCUGUCCAUUCGUGGCCUGGGGACUUUCUGGUUCAUUAGGGUGGUGGUAGUGCUUAGUGGUGAUGAGAAAGGGGUCUGGAGUCAGAUCUGGAUUUGAAUUCUGAUUUUGCUGUUUCUAGCUUGUAACCUUGGACAAGUUAUUUGAGUAGAGACCUGAGUAAGAGCAAGAACUCUGUAGCCAGGCUCCCUGAGUUCAAAUCUUGGCUCUGAUAUGUUUAGCAGUCUGACAAAGGCAAGUUGCUUAACCUGUCUGUGCAUAGUUCCCUAUGUCUAAAGUGACAGUUAUAAUAAUACUUAUCUCAUAGGGUUGUUGGGCAGAUUAAAUGAGUUAGUAUUACGUAACCGUGCCUACUGUAAUUCGUGUAACAGCAUUCAAGCGUGAGCUAUUAUUGUCAGAGUCCCUGGGUGGUGUAAAUGGUUAACAUGCUCAGCUGCUAACCCAAAGGUUAGAGGUUUGAGUCUACUCAGAGACAUCUCAGAGGAAAGGCCUGAUGUUCUACUUCUGAAAAAUCAACUAUCACAAACCCUAUGGAGCACAGUUCUACUCUGACACAUAUAGAGUUGCCAUGAGUCAGAGUCUAUUCCAUGGCAACUGGUAUUAUAAUUGUCAUUUGAUUUUCUGAGCCUCGGUUUCCUUGUCUGUAACAAAUACCUCUCCUUCCUGCCUCAGGGUUGUCAUGAUGAUCAAAUGACACAUUCCCUUUAGAAACUCUCAAAGGCUUUCCAUAUGUAAAGUAUUAUUAUUACUUAUUAUCAGAUAUUUGCUUCCUGGGGUUACCAGGGUUUGGGCAAGAGAUUUACAUUCCCUUUAUCAGCAAAGCAGCUACCUUCAUCCUUCUCCCACAUGAGCCUUUAGGCAGAAGAUUGUAGGGUCCUGGUACCACCAGGAGCCGUGGGGUCAUCCAGUCCUCUUCUGCUCAGAGGAAGGGUUGUACAAGGCCAUGCCGACAGUUCGUCAUCUCUAAUAGAAAGAGGUGAUUUCAGAGGAGACUGCCAGUUAACCUAAGAACAGGGAGCUUGUCUACGUUUUACAGAUCAUUCCCUUCAAUGCAGGGGUGGUUCCAGAUUUUGUGGCGCAAAAAGCUUAUACAAUUUGGGGAGCCCUCUUUAAGAAACAGAAAAUUAUGAGCACAAAGUUCAGUACAGGUAUUGGGAGAGGUUUGUGCAAAUGAGGAGCCCCGAAGCUUAAGCUUCUUUCACUUCAGGGAAAAUUCACUUUUGCCAUGGAAUCAAGAGGGCAUUUUAUAAAUACUUGUCACUUGGUUGCUGUGAUGGUUAUGGUUAUGUGUCAACUUGGCUAGGCCAUGAUUCUCAGUGGUUUGACAGAUAUUGUAUAAUCAACCUCCAUUUUGUGAUCUGAUGUGAGCAGCCAAUCAGUUGAAAGGGGAGUUUCCUUGGGGUUGUGGCCUGCAUCUAAUAUAUAUGGAUAUUUGGCAAAGCUUGUUUUCUCAGUCCUGUAAUCAAUCCUGCAUUCACCUCAUCAUCCUCUGACCUCUGGUUCUUGGAACGUGAGCCAGCACCCUGCUGCCUGACUUGCAGAUCUUGGAUUCGACAGCUCCCACAGCCCCGUGAGCCAGCAGCCAGCCAUCUGACCUGCAGAUUUUGGGUUCAUCAGCCCCUGCUACCACAUGAAUCAGGAGAAGCCUCUAGCCUGCCUCCUGACCCAUGUAUCUGAGCCUUGCCAGCUCCAUAAUUGUGUGAGUCAUUUCCUUGAAAUAAAUCUAUAUAUUUACGUAUAUGCUUCACUGGUUUUGGUCCUCCAGAGAACCUAGCCUAAGACAGUUGUUCAUGGCCAAAACAAAUAAUUUCUGCCAUAUCAUAGAUAGGCCGGAAUCUUCAGGGGGCUGGAGUGUCUCCAUCCUUCACCCAGGUUCUGGAAGUCACCCUAUUAUUUGGGCUGUUACUCCUCCACUGCCUUCACCUCAGACUAAUUGUUCUUUUUCAGGAGCCACAAGCUAUUUAUUUUUGCUUUCGUUGCAUCUGCAUAUAAUUUACAUAUCAUUAAUAUUCAGCAGUUCAUCGACAGGGAACUGCCAGAAAUUCAAGCCAGAUUCAGAAAAGGACAUGGAAUGAGGAAUAUCAUUGCUGAUGUCAGAUGGAUCUUGGCUGAAAGCAGAGAGUACCCAAAAGAUGUUUACCUCUGUUUUAUUGACUAUCCAAAGGGAUUUGGCUGUGUGGAUCAUAACAGAUUAUGGACUGAGUUACUGGGCUAUAGGCUGGGAACCAUGGUCUCAGGAGAUAUCUAGCUCAAUUUGCAUAACAUAGUUUAUAAAGAAAAUGUCCUAUAUCUGACUGUGGCGAGUAGCAUCUGGGGUCUUAAAAGCCUGUGAGCAGCCAUCUAAGAUACAUCUGCUGGUCCCAUCCUGGCUGGAGCAAAGGAGAAUGAAGAAAACCAAAAACACAAGGGAAAGACCUUAGUCCAAAGGACUAAUGGACCACAAUUACCACAACCUCCACCAGACUGAGUCCAGCACAACUGCAUGGUGCCUGGCUACCACCACUGACUGCUCUGACAGGGCUCACAAUAGAGGAUCUCGGACAGAGUGGGAGAAAAAUGUAGAACAAAAUUCAGAUUCACAAGAAAAUGACUAGACUUGCCAGUCUGAUAAGAGGUUGGAGGAACCCCAAGAGUAUGGCCCCCAGACACCCUUUGUCUUAGGCUGGGUUUUCUAGAGAAGCAAAACCAGUAAAGCAUACAAAUAUAGAGAGAGAGGAAUUUAUAUCAGGGAAAUGGUUCACGUGGUUGUAGAGGGUGGAAUGUCCCAAAUCUGUGGGUCGGGCUGGAGGCUUCUCCCAAUUCAUGUAGCUGCAGGGGCUGGUGAAAUUAAGAUCAGCAGGUCAGACAGCAGGGCUCUGGUUCACAGACUGUGAAGACUGAUGAAUCCCAAGGUCAGCAGGCAAGACGGCAGAUAAGCUGCUAGCUCAAGUCCCAAGAACCAGAGGUCAGACGAACAGAAGCCAGCUAUAGGAUACAGAGCAAGCAAAAGCCCACAAGCCUUGCCAGAAAGUCCACCUAUAUUGGAUGCAGGCCACACCCCCCAAGGAAACUCCCUUUCAGCUGAUGGGCUGCUCACAGCAGAUCCCGUCAUGGAGGUAAUCACAUUAUAUCAAAACUCAUCAUGGAGGUGUCACAUUAUUAUAACUUGCAGCCAUUGAGUAGAUUCCGACUCAUAGUGACCCUAUAGGACAGAGUAGAACUGCCCCACAGAGCUUCCAAGGAGCACCUGGCGGAUCUGAACUGCCAAGCUGUUGGUUAGCAGCCGUAGCACUUAACCACUACGCCACCAGGGUUUCCAACAACUGCCAAACUACAUCAUAACUCUCAAACUACUAAGAAUCAUGGCCCAGCCAAGUUGACAUGCAACCUUAUCACACCCUUUUAACUCAGUACUGAAGUCACUCCCAAGGUUCACCCUUCAGCCAAAGGUUAGACAUAGGGCAAACAGUAACACAUGUGAAGAACGUGCUUUGUAGUUCAGUCAUGUAUAUGAGAUUAAAUGGGCAUACUGGCCAAAAAGCAAAGAUUAGAAGGUAGGAAGGGACAGGAAAACUGGACGAAUGGAAACAGGGAACUCAGGGUGAAGAAGGGGAGAGUGUUGACACAUCAUGGGGUUGAAAACCAGUGUCACAAAACAAUUUGUGUAUUAACUGUUUAAUGAGAAACUAAUUUGCUCUGUAAACUUUCACCUGAAGCACAAUAAAAAAAAAAACUAUGGAUAACAUUGCGAAGAAUGGGAAUUCCAGAGCACUUAACUGUACUCAUGCAGAACCUGUACAUAAACCAAGAGGCAGUCAUUUGAACAGAACAAGGGGAUACUGCAUGUUUCAAAAUCAGAAGAGGUGUUCAUUAGGGUUAUAUCCUUUUACCAUACUUAUUCAGUCUGUGCUGAGCAAAUAAUCCAAGAAGAUGGACUAUAUGAAGAAGAAUGGGGUAUCGGGAUUGGUGGAAGACUCAUUAACAACCUGCGAUACACAGGUGACACGAUGUUUUUUUGUUUGCUAAAAGCAAAGAAGACUUGAAGCAGUUACUGAGGGAGAUAAAAGACUACAGCCUUCAGUUAUGGAUUACACCUCAGCAUAAAAAAAAAAAAAAUCCUCACAACUGUAUCAGUAAGCAACAUCAUGAUAAAUAGAAACAAGAUUGAAGUUGUCAAGGAUUUCAUUUUACUUGGAUCCACAAUCAGCUCCCACAGAAACAGCAGUCAAGAAAUCAGAAGACAUGUUGUGUUGGGAAGAUCUGCUGCAAUAGACCUCUCUAAAGCAGAGCCCUGGUGGCGCAGUGGGUAAGAGCCCAGGUUGCUAACCAAAAGGCCAGCAGUUCAAACCCAGCACCUGCUCCUUGGAAACCCUAUGGGCCAGUUCUAGUCUGUCCUAUCGAGUCACUAUAAGUUGGUAUUGACUGACAGGCACAUAACAAAAACAAAGUGUUGAAGAAGCAAAGAUGUCACUUUGAGGACUAACACCUGAUCCAAGUGAUGAUAUUUUCAGUCACCUCAUAUGCAUGCAAAAGCUGGACUAUGAAUAAGGAAGACCAAAGAAGAAUUGAUGCCUUUGAAUUAUGGUGUUGGCAAAGAAUAUUGAAUAUACCACGGGCAGCCAGAAGAACAAAGAAGUCUGUCUUGGAAGAAGUACAGCUGGAGUGCUCCUUGGAAGCAAGGAUGGUGAGACUUCGUCUCACAUACUUUGGACAGUCCCUCAAGAAGGACAUUGUGCUUGGUAAGGUGGAGGGUCAGCAAAAAAGAGGAAGAUCAUCAGUGAGAUAGAUUGACAUAGUGGCUGCAACAGUGGGCUCAAACAUAGCAACGAUUGUGAGGAUGUCGCAGGACCGGGCAGUGUUUCCUUCUGUAGUACCUAGGGUCACUCUGAGUUGGAAUCGACUUGACAGCACCUAACAGCAACAACAACAGUAUUCACACUCAUGUUGGGAACCCUUCUUCUGCCCCAGCUUAAGCAAGAAUCCUGGAAUUUUGUUACCAAGUAACUGGAUUCAAUUGUAUCCCCCCAAAAUAUGUAUCAACUUGGCUAGGCCAUGAUUUCCAAUAUUGUGAGAUUGUCCACCAUUUUGUCAUCUGAUGUGAAUUUCCUGUGUGUUGUAAAUCCUUCCUCUAUGAUGUUAAUGAUGUGGGAAUAGUGGCAGUUAUGUUAAUGAGGGCAGGGCUCAAUCUACAAGAUUAGGUUAUAUUUUAAGCCACUCUCUUUUGAGAUAUAGAAGAGAGCAGAGAGACAGGGAGAUCUCAUACCACCAAGAAAAUAGCACUGGGAGCAGAGCAUGACCUUUGGACCUGGGGUUCCUGCACAGAGAAGCUCCUAGACCAAGAGAAGAUUGAUGACAAGGACCUUCCUCCAGAGCCGACAGAAAGAGAAAGCCUUCCCCUGGAGCCGGCACCCAGAAUUUGGACUUCUAGCCUACUAGACUGUGAGAGAAUAAAUUUCUGUUUGUUAAAGCCAUCCACUUGUGAUAUUUCUGUUAUAGCAGCACUAGAUAACUAAGACACCAAGUGAGAUUCAACUUUCUCUCUUCCCAGAAUAUAGAAGGAAAGAAAGAUACAUUCAAUUGGGGGGUAGGGGAGUGGAAUGAUAAUGACUUUUGUCUUGGAGUCAGCUUCUAAAAACCCCUGGACCUACUGAAGUUGUCCUCUUCCACAUAUCUCACCAGGCCCCCACCCGACCAACCUCAUAGCUUCCCAGUUUCCCCUUGAUUGUAUAGUUGGAAAUGUACACACUCAGGGACACACAUGCCUACCCAAUGCUGAGCUUACUUAGGCUCAAGUGUGUAGCCAUUGAUGUCAAGAGGGACAUGGCAUUAAGAGCACAGUUACUCCUCAGAUCACUCCCAGGGAGAAUCAGCCCCUAGGAUUCCCUAGCACAGUUUGGAGGCUCAGUUUAUGGGAUUCUUCCGAUUGACGGAAACAGAUGGCAGGUGGAAGUAUGUGUGAGUGUGUAUGUGUGUAUGUGCAUACACGUCAGCUGUUACGCAGGUAAAAAGUGUGCACACAUGUGAGACAGUGAAUGUCUGUGUACAUAUUAGUACACCUACCAAGGCAGAGGAAGUGGAGGUGAGGAUGUGGGAAGGAAGGUUUUGGUCUAAGAAAACCACAUUGUGGUUUUGAAUGUCAUCAAAAGUGAAACCUGCUUCCCCAGCCCUGCCCUGUGAUGUAUAGGCAAAAAAGUUAGGAAGGCAGGAAAAAGUCUUAAGGCAGGCAUGGGGUACAGCUGCCAGUGUCACUACCAGGUCCAACAAUGACAUCAUUCUCCCAGAUCUCUCCCCCGAGGUGAUGAGUCAUGCAGAGUCCAAUCAAUACUGCAUUCCAUUUGUCUAUGCCAUCUUUAUGCUCUCAUGAGCCAGCUCAUGCUUUCCUCUUCCACAUGGCCCAGCCCCUACCCCCACAUGCCCCUGAGGAGCCUGAGCUACCCCAGCCCUAGCGCUUAGCCUUCUGUAAGCCUCUGUCAGAGAAAGGGAGCCCUAGUGGUUAAGAGCUACAGCUGCUAACCAAAAGGUCGGCACCAUCCGCUCCUUGGAAACCCUAUGGGACAGAUGUACUCUGCCCUGUAGGGAUGCUAUAAGGCAAAAUAGACUCAAUGGCAGUGGGUUUGGUUUGGUUUGAUCAGAGAAAGCAGCAAUCCCUGCUUCUGGAUGAGACAUCAGAGCUACAAAUGAGAAAACGAGAGAGGGACCAGGACCAAGAGAAACAGAGAGGGACUGCUUAUGUGUAGGGAACCUGGGAACAGAAGUGGAAAUUUUACAAAGCCAGCUCUGGAUAAGGAGAGGAGAAAGAGGAAGAGACAGAGAAAAAAAGAUGGAAAGGAGAGGGUCAGAGGAAAAAAAAGAGAAGGGGAACUGGGACUAGAGGAAGAGAGACAGGGUGGAGUGAGGUGAAGCUGGCAACUGUGGACUCUUAGGAUCUUAGAACUGUUACCCCAUUUUUCUGGGACUCUGAUCAUAUCUGGGUCCUCUAGUCCUAGUGAUACAGGAGGAAACCCAACACUCCAAACCAGCUCCCCCAGGAGAGGAGUCCCAUUGUUUAUAAUAUCACCCACCUACCCUGCCAUGUCUCAGCUUGAGCCUGUCCUCCAUGUCAGAGAUGGAGGCUGGGGAACUAGGAAUGGGGAGGGGGAGUGAGGGCGAGAGGCACAAGGGGGAAGACAGUACCUACUGGGCAGCUCUGGUUUCUCUCUUGGGACCUCAGUCCUUUUCCAAGGCUUUGGCAUCUGCCCAAACUUUGUUCCUUCUGGCCUGGCCCUCCUGCUCAGUGGGAGCCUAAGCGUCCUCCUUUGCCACUGACAGGAAUCAGAACAGGGGCCUCUUUAUCUGACAGUGAGAGGGACUCAACUGCCUAGUCUCUGUGUCUCAAAUUUCCCAAGAUGCUGUUUGUUCCCAGUGUACAGUGAGCUGUCCCAGGGAAAUCAAAGCCUUUAUGUCUAUGUGUGAGUCAACAAGAUGACUCUGGAGAGGUAUUUCAUGAGACUGGAGAUAGCUUCUGGUGGAGAGCCCCGGCUAGGGAUUUCCUGCCCUUACUCACUGGCUGAGUACCUCUGCCAGAGUAUGAUCUCCAAUCUUUGCUUCCUAACUCUCCAUCAACAACAAUAAUAAUACCAACAAUAAUAAUGAUAGCAACCACUUACUGAGUCCCUAAUACUUGCCAGUUACCAUGGUAAGUGUCUUAUUGUAUAUUAUUUCAUUUAAUCCUGCAACAACACUACCAAAUAAUCACUAUUGUAUCAUAGCCAUUUUACCAAGGAGGAAACUGAGGAUUGCAGAGCUUGCCUAAGAUUUCACAGCUUGUGGUAGAGCUGAAAUUUGAACUCAGAUCUAUCUGAUUCCAAAUCCUCGGUUUUCUUCCUUGCCCAUUUUCAUUUUCCUUGCCUCAACAAUGCAUCCUCCUUUUUGGUUUAGAGUUGCAACACAAGACCUUUAUCUCUAAUAAGUAUUCAUUCCCCUCCCCCUCCCUCAGCUCUCCCUCCUCCUCUCACUACCUUUAGAAAGCCCCUGGUGGCCUAGGGCCAGCCCUUCUGCUGGUUUGGAGUUCUGAGGCCCUUGGGGUUAGGGUGGGGGAAAAGUGAGCAGUCUGACCCAAGGCUCCUGAUUCCUGAGGAAGAGGGAAGGGAGAUGAGGAUGGCUGUCAUUUCACACCAGGAACAACAUGAGCUUGUUGGAGAAGUUUAGGGUCACGUGAGACCUUGAGCCCUGGUUCCCACAGGGAGGCACACGGCAGGGCUCUGCAGCCCACAAAGGGAAGUAGAAGAAAGUAGAAAACUACCAGAUCCUCAGGGGGAGUUGAGGUGGGGGCAAAAGUAGAACAAGAGCUCCUUUUCUGCCAGAGCUGUGCCCCUAGGAGGCUGGUGCUGCUGUUCGCCAGCAUAGCAGGCAGUCACAACUUCUAAUGCUGCUGGAGACACAGGUGCAGCCUUCCUUCCGAGGACCUGUGUCCUCCAAAAGAAAAAAAAAAAUUUUUUUUUUUUGUGUCCUCCAGUGAGGGGAAAAUGCUCCAGACCUAGUGUCUCCACCAGCUCUGACAUUGGAGGCCACGCAACCACCUCCGAUAGUGCUAGGUAAAAUAGUGUGCUACUGAAGCUUUGAGGCAAGUCCACGGGUCACCUUCCACCAGAUUGCCAUCUCUUAUCCCCUCUUAGAGGGGGUGGUCUGGAACGGCACUAGGAGACCCCACCUGGACCAAAAUUUCCCUCUGCGGGUUUGUGAGCAAAUCAGGAAGAGCUCUGCAUGGAAUACAGAAGAGCAGGGCAAAUACAGUUGAAUGUGCUCACAGAGGGAGCAGCAGCCGCCACCUGAGGACAGGGAGCCAGCAACACGGAGAGAAGCAACAGAGAACAACUGUUCUCGUAUCCCCUGGGCUCUGGGCACAUCACUGCUAGUUGGGGCUAGACAUAAUUUAAGGUAGCCCUUCUUUUAAAUGGAGCCCUGGGGGCGCAGUGGUUAAGCAUUCGGCUGCUAACCAAAAGGUCAACAGUUUGAAUCCACCAGCCGCUCCUUGGA